GCUGGCGGUCUGCUUAACACAUGCAAGUCGAACGAACUCUUCGGAGUGAGUGGCGGACGGGUGAGUAACGCGUGAGAAUCUGCCUGUGGGUCGGGGACAACCACUGGAAACGGUGGCUAAUACCGGAUGAGCCGAAAGGUAAAAAAUUUAUUGCCCACAGAUGAGCUCGCGUCUGAUUAGCUAGUUGGUAAGGUAAAAGCGUACCAAGGCGACGAUCAGUAGCUGGUCUGAGAGGAUGAGCAGCCACACUGGGACUGAGACACGGCCCAGACUCCUACGGGAGGCGGCAGUGGGGAAUUUUCCGCAAUGGGCGAAAGCCUGACGGAGCAAGACCGCGUGGGGGAGGAAGGUUUUUGGAUCGUAAACCCCUUUUGUCAAGGAAGAAGUUCUGACGGUACUUGACGAAUAAGCCUCGGCUAACUCCGUGCCAGCAGCCGCGGUAAUACGGAGGAGGCAAGCGUUAUCCGGAAUGAUUGGGCGUAAAGCGUCUGUAGGUGGCCAGCUAAGUCUGCUGUUAAAGAUCACAGCUCAACUGUGGGAAGGCAGUGGAAACUGGCAAGCUAAAGCUGGUA
rnacentral:rRNA from 1 species